rnacentral:rRNA from 1 species
AUUGAACGCUGGCGGCAGGCCUAACACAUGCAAGUCGAGCGGAUGAAGGGAGCUUGCUCUCUGAUUCAGCGGCGGACGGGUGAGUAAUGCCUAGGAAUCUGCCUGGUAGUGGGGGACAACGUUUCGAAAGGAACGCUAAUACCGCAUACGUCCUACGGGAGAAAGCAGGGGACCUUCGGGCCUUGCGCUAUCAGAUGAGCCUAGGUCGGAUUAGCUAGUAGGUGAGGUAAAGGCUCACCUAGGCGACGAUCCGUAACUGGUCUGAGAGGAUGAACAGUCACACUGGAACUGAGACACGGUCCAGACUCCUACGGGAGGCAGCAGUGGGGAAUAUUGGACAAUGGGCGAAAGCCUGAUCCAGCCAUGCCGCGUGUGUGAAGAAGGUCUUCGGAUUGUAAAGCACUUUAAGUUGGGAGGAAGGGCAGUAAGUUAAUACCUUGCUGUUUUGACGUUACCGACAGAAUAAGCACCGGCUAACUCUGUGCCAGCCGCCGCCGUAAGAC